rnacentral:rRNA from 1 species
UGGGGAAUUUUGGACAAUGGGCGAAAGCCUGAUCCAGCAAUGCCGCGUGUGUGAAGAAGGCCUUCGGGUUGUAAAGCACUUUUGUCCGGAAAGAAAUCCUUGGCUCUAAUACAGUCGGGGGAUGACGGUACCGGAAGAAUAAGCACCGGCUAACUACGUGCCAGCAGCCGCGGUAAUACGUAGGGUGCAAGCGUUAAUCGGAAUUACUGGGCGUAAAGCGUGCGCAGGCGGUUUGCUAAGACCGAUGUGAAAUCCCCGGGCUCAACCUGGGAACUGCAUUGGUGACUGGCAGGCUAGAGUAUGGCAGAGGGGGGUAGAAUUCCGCGUGUAGCAGUGAAAUGCGUAGAGAUGUGGAGGAAUACCGAUGGCGAAGGCAGCCCCCUGGGCCAAUACUGACGCUCAUGCACGAAAGCGUGGGGAGCAAACAGGAUUAGAUACCCUGGUAGUCCACGCCCUAAAACGAUGUCAACUAGUUGUUGGGGAUUCAUUUCCUUAGUAACGUAGCUAACGCGUGAAGUUGACCGCCUGGGGAGUACGGCCGCAAGAUUAAAACUUAAAGGAAUUGACGGGGUCAUAGCUGUUUCCU